rnacentral:rRNA from 1 species
GAUGAACGCUGGCGGCGUGCCUAAUACAUGCAAGUCGAGCGAAUGGAUUAAGAGCUUGCUCUUAUGAAGUUAGCGGCGGACGGGUGAGUAACACGUGGGUAACCUGCCCAUAAGACUGGGAUAACUCCGGGAAACCGGGGCUAAUACCGGAUAACAUUUUGAACCGCAUGGUUCGAAAUUGAAAGGCUGCUUCGCCUGUCACUUAUGGUAGGACCCGCGUCGCAUUAGCUAGGUGGUGAGGGAACGGCUCACCAAGGCAACGAUGCGUAGCCGACCUGAGAGGGUGAUCGGCCACACUGGGACUGAGACACGGCCCAGACUCCUACGGGAGGCAGCAGUAGGGAAUCUUCCGCAAUGGACGAAAGUCUGACGGAGCAACGCCGCGUGAGUGAUGAAGGCUUUCGGGUCGUAAAACUCUGUUGUUAGGGAAGAACAAGUGCUAGUUGAAUAAGCUGGCACCUUGACGGUACCUAACCAGAAAGCCACGGCUAACUACGUGCCAGCCGCCGCGGUAA